rnacentral:rRNA from 1 species
GUGGGGAAUUUUCCGCAAUGGGCGAAAGCCUGACGGAGCAACGCCGCGUGAGGGACGAAGGCCUCUGGGCUGUAAACCUCUUUUCUCAAGGAAGAAGAUAUGACGGUACUUGAGGAAUAAGCCACGGCUAAUUCCGUGCCAGCAGCCGCGGUAAUACGGGAGUGGCAAGCGUUAUCCGGAAUUAUUGGGCGUAAAGCGUCCGCAGGCGGCUUUUCAAGUCUGCUGUUAAAGCGUGGAGCUUAACUCCAUCAUGGCAGUGGAAACUGAAAGGCUUGAGUAUGGUAGGGGCAGAGGGAAUUCCCGGUGUAGCGGUGAAAUGCGUAGAUAUCGGGAAGAACACCAGUGGCGAAGGCGCUCUGCUGGGCCAUUACUGACGCUCAUGGACGAAAGCCAGGGGAGCGAAAGGG